CCUGCGGAGGGAUCAUUACCGAGUUUACAACUCCCCAAACCCCUGUGAACAUACCUAUACGUUGCCUCGGCGGAUCAGCCCGCGCCCUGUAAAAAGGGACGGCCCGCCCGAGGACCCUAAACUCUGUUUUUAGUGGAACUUCUGAGUAAAACAAACAAAUAAAUCAAAACUUUCAACAACGGAUCUCUUGGUUCUGGCAUCGAUGAAGAACGCAGCAAAAUGCGAUAAGUAAUGUGAAUUGCAGAAUUCAGUGAAUCAUCGAAUCUUUGAACGCACAUUGCGCCCGCCAGUAUUCUGGCGGGCAUGCCUGUUCGAGCGUCAUUUCAACCCUCAAGCUCAGCUUGGUGUUGGGACUCGCGGUAACCCGCGUUCCCCAAAUCGAUUGGCGGUCACGUCGAGCUUCCAUAGCGUAGUAAUCAUACACCUCGUUACUGGUAAUCGUCGCGGCCACGCCGUAAAACCCCAACUUCUGAAUGUUGACCUCGGAUCAGGUAGGAAUACCCGCUGAACUUAAGCAUAUCAAUA
rnacentral:rRNA from 1 species